CUUUCUUAUUGAGAGUUUGAUCCUGGCUCAGGAUGAACGCUGGCGGCGUGGAUAAGGCAUGCAAGUCGAAUGUCGCACCUUUCAACUUUUAUGGUAUAAUACGGAUAUGUAUUAUGUCUAUGUUUUAAAAAGUGAAAAAGACGGUCGUUUUUAUUUUGGUUAUUCAAGUAAUUUAAAACAACGUUUUAUCGCUCACAAUAAAGGGAGAGUUCGUUAUACGAGAAAUUUUAAACCAUGGAAGCUUGUUUAUUACGAGGCUUAUGUAUCGGAGAGAUAUGCAAGAUAUCGUGAAAGACAAAUUAAAUAUGGUGGAAAAGUAUAUGCACAAUUAAAAAGAAGGAUUGAAAAGUCAAUUAAUGAAAGUUGAAAGGUGCGACAUGGCAAACGGGUUAGUAACGCGUAGGAACAUACCCUUAAGUCGUGAAUAACUUAGAGAAAUCUAUGAUAAUACACGAUGUGCUCUACGGAGUAAAGAUUUAUCACUUAAGGAGUGGCCUGCGUCCUAUCAGCUUGUUGGUGAGGUAAUAGCUCACCAAGGCUAUGACGGGUAGGGGGCGUGAGAGCGUGACCCCCAACAUUGGAACUGAGACACUGUCCAAACUCCUACGGGAGGCUGCAGUCGAGAAUAUUCCACAAUGGGCGAAAGCCUGAUGGAGCGACGCCGCGUGCAGGAUGAAGGCCCUAGGGUCGUAAACUGCUUUUGUCAAGGAAGAAACGUGUUUCACUUUUGUUCGACAUUUUAAUUUUGAAUUUCCAAUUUUGAAUAAAUGAACUAGUGUUUUAAUGAAAUAAUUAUGAAACAAGAAAUUAAAAAUCAAUGUUUCAUAAUUAAAAAAUUAAUUCAUUAAAAAAUUCAAUCAAAAUUCAAAAUUCGUAAAUUAAAAAGUGGUGAGCAGUAGUGAGACACGAUUGACUGUACUUGACGAAUAAGGGGUUACUAACUCUGUGCCAGCAGUAGCGGUAAUACAGAGACCCCAAGCGUUAUCCGGAUUUAUUGGGCGUAAAGCGCAUGUAGGCGGAUAUACUAGUCAGAUGUUAAAUCUCCGAGCCCAACUCGGAAACUGCAUUUGAAACGGUAUAUCUAGAGAAAGUGAGAGAUUGAUGGAAUUCAUGGUGUAGUAGUGAAAUGCGUUGAUAUCAUGAGGAACACCAAAGGCGAAGGCAUUCAAUUGGCACUUUUCUGACGCUGAGAUGCGAAAGCGUGGGGAGCGAAGGGGAUUAGAUACCCCCGUAGUCCACGCCGUAAACGAUGCAUAUUAGAUGUUAGGAGUAUCGACCCUCCUAGUGUCGUAGCUAACGCG
rnacentral:rRNA from 1 species